rnacentral:rRNA from 1 species
UACGUAGGGUCCAAGCGUUAUCCGGAAUCACUGGGCGUAAAGCGUCCGCAGCCGGCGUGUUAAGUGAGAUGUUAAAUCGUGUGGCUCAACCAUAUCGAUGUAUCUCAUACUGGCAUGCUAGAGGAAAUCAGAGGCAAGUGGAAUUUGUAGUGUAGCAGUGAAAUGCGUAGAUAUUACAAGGAACACCAAUGGCGAAGGCAGCUUGCUGGGAUUUUCUGACGGUCAUGGACGAAAGCGUGGGGAGCGAACAGG